UACGUAGGGGGCUAGCGUUGUCCGGAAUCAUUGGGCGUAAAGCGCGCGUAGGCGGCCCGGUAAGUCCGCUGUAAAAGUCAAAGGCUCAACCUUUGAAUGUCAGUGGAUACUGCCGGGCUAGAGUCCGGAAGAGGCGAGUGGAACUCCUGGUGUAGCGGUGGAAUGCGCAGAUAUCAGGAAGAACACCGACGGCGAAGGCAGCUCGCUGGGACGGUACUGACGCUGAGGCGCGAAAGCGUGGGGAGCGAACAG
rnacentral:rRNA from 1 species